UACGUAGGGGGCGAGCGUUGUCCGGAUUGACUGGGCGUAAAGCGCACGCAGGCGGCCGUGCACGUGGGGUGUGAAAGCUGGCGGCUUAACUGCCAGACGCCACCUCAUACGGCACGGCUCGAGCCCGUGAGAGGUCCACGGAAUUGCCGGUGUAGUGGUGAAAUGCGUAGAGAUCGGCAGGAACACCCAGGGGGAAACCAGUGGACUGGCACGGUGCUGACGCUCAGGUGCGAAAGCGUGGGGAGCGAACCGG
rnacentral:rRNA from 1 species